rnacentral:lncRNA from 1 species
CAAACCAGGAAUCCCAGCCGCAGCCCCGGGGCCUGGAAACUCCGGCCAGUUUAUUAAAGUGCCUUCCCCGCCUGUGACCAUCAGGCAAAGGGAGAAUCUUACCGGGAAUCUCACUUCUAGCCAAUGAGGAAUUUUCAGAAAAGCGAAAUGGAAGGAAUCAUUUUGUCAUCUCUGCAAAUCUGUAUUCUGAAAGGUACUCGGAUAUCCACGAAGUCCUCCUCAUCUCGCACUAUCAUUUCUCUCACUGGGCACAAUCCAGCUUUAAAGAAUUCAACACUUACUGGUCUUCAGAGGACUGUCAGCAAUGACAGCAACCAGGGAUGCUGA